ACUCAAAUGAAUUGACGGGGACCCGCACAACUGGUGGAGCGUGUGGUUUAAUUCGAGACGAAGCGAAACACCUUACCAGGGUUUGACAUGAUACCGUACAGCCUUUUGGAAACAAGAGGCAAUCCGCAAGGAUGGUACCACAGGUGAUGCAUGGCUGUCGUCAGCUCGUGCCGUGAGGUGUUCCCUUAAGUGGGGAAACGAGCGCAACCCGUAUUUAAUGUUACAUAUUCAUUAAAGACUGCUCCAGAUUUUCUGGAGAGGAAGGAGCGGAAGACGUCAAGUCAGCACGUCCCUUAUACCCUGGGUCACACACACCCUACAAUGGCGAACAACAAUGAGCUGCAAGCCGGUGACGGCAAGCUAAUCUCAGAAAUUUCGCCUCAGUUCAGAUUGGAGUCUGCAACCCGACUCCAUGAAGCCGGAAUCAGUAGUAAUCGCGGAUCAGAAGGCCGCGGUGAAUACGUUCUCGGGUCUUGUACACACCGCCCGU
rnacentral:rRNA from 1 species